GUCAGGGAGACGUCAGCCCCUAGGAGGAGGGCACCCCCCACAGCGAGGCUCUGACCCACCCUCGCCCCUCAGGGCCCAGCACGACUCUCCCGGAGAGACCACAGCGGGCAGCGCUGGGCAGAUCAGUCCACACCCAGCAGAGCAGAACCCUUGAGAGGGGGCUGGAGACGUCCUUCCUGGGGCUGGCCCAGAAAGACGGGCCUUGUGGGCGGGGUGGAGGGUUGUAAGCCCCGCCCUCCCCGCCUUCCUCCUGGGGGCGGAGCCGGCCUCGGGCGGGGGGGGCGGGGGGGGGCGGGGGGGGGGGGGCGGGGGGGGCGGGGGGGGGCGGGGGGGGGCGGGGGGGGCGGGGGGGGGCGGGGGGGGGCGGGGGGGGGCGGGGGGGGCAGGGGCUACCCGGGUGGAGCCCCCGGCAGCGUGGCGGUGGGGCGUGGCCAAGGCGGGUGCUGUUUCCUGCUGCCCCCGCUCUGACGACACCUGCCCCAGCUGACCGCCCCCUCAGAUGGCCCAGCUUGGCACGCACGGGGAGGGAACACCCCCUCACCCCCCGACCCUCACCCAUCGACUGCUUGGCAGUGUCACCACGUGGCCUCACCCUGGAGCAAGGCCCAGCUGCUACCGAGAGAGGGAAAGGAGGGUCCCGCGCAGGAGGCAGGGAGAGGUCCCAGAGAGGUGCAGGGCUGGUAAGAACGCUGGAGGAAGAGGGGGGCCCUCCGUCUCUCCUCCCAGCAGAAGCUGGGUGUCCCUGGGGCCUCACGCAGAGUGACCAUAGCCGGGCACCCCAGGAGGCACCCCCGCUGGGGAGGUUAGGCCCGAGAUGGCCCCAGCUGAGGACCCGAGGACUCCAGAGGGGAUGGAGGGGGACGGCCAGAGCUCACCAGGCCCCUCUGCCCUGCAUGGCCCGCAGCCCUCUUGCCUCUCAAGCCAGGGGGCCCAGGGUCUUCAGAGAACACCCAGGAUGGGCUGGCCUGCGCCUCCUCGGGCCUCGGUCUCCCCAUCGCUCGCUCUCUCUCUCUCUGACCCAGCUGGGAUCUGCCCACAGGGGCUCACCAUGUGCCCCUGGAGUUGGAAGUACUGGGUUCUAAGGACCGCAGGCAGAGACUGCCAGACCCCAG
rnacentral:lncRNA from 1 species